rnacentral:lncRNA from 1 species
AUGAUUUUCAUCCAACCAUUAUUGGCGGCUGCGGCUCAACGUCGGAUCUUCACCUGCAUUUCAACGUCGGAUCUCCACCACCAUCUUUUUUGCAAUUUCUUUAUGUUUGGAAUAAGUUGCAGAGACUCUUUGGGUUCUCUGUGUUGUUUUCACCUCUCCUUUUGUGAGAGUUUUUCAUCUCUCCUUUGUGAGAGCUUUUCAUCUCUCCUUGGUGAGAGUUUUAUUUGUAUUGUUAUGGCUUGGUUUUUUCAAGCUUUAUCUUUUUUUAUUAUUCUAAGUUUGCAAUCUUAGUUGAGAUGCCUAUGCCAGAGUUUCUUCGAUCUUGCCUGAUCGUUGGUGGAGACAUACCUGA